AAAGGAAAACAGUAUUUUUCAUUGAUUUACAUAUGAGAGUUUGUAAAAAAAGUCUUGAAAAAGAUUGGUUACUUUUUUUGAGAAAGAAACUGUUCUAUUACAAAAAGAAUUCUAUCUUUGAGGUUACUUAACAAACAGUGAAAAAGACAUGUUAUAACCAAAUUCUUUAGAUCCAUUUAAGAAAACUUUAAUAGUUUUUAUCCAAAUUGCAAACUUUUUACGGUGAGCACAAGUGACUUAAAAGGAUAAAUUAAAUUACACUAUUAAUAUCUUACAUCUGAAAAUUGAAAUAACAAAAGCUUUGAUAUUCAGAAACAAGUUAGAGGAUCUGAUUGUACUGUGGAAAGUGCUACAAAUAAAAUGGAUGAUUCUGAUCUUGAUUUUAGUCCAUUAUACAAGGGUCCAACUUAAACAACUUCAGGCUUUCCAUUUUUUAUGCAUUUUUUUAAUCCAAAUAUAUUUUCAAAUGAUAAAACUUUACUAUUUUAAAUGUUUUUCCAAGAAAUAUGCUGGAUUAAGAAACGACCCAGAUGACAGAACAAGUUUUAAUUAUGAUAUCAAUUUCCUUCUGACUGGAGCCACAAGGUCAGGAAGAAUGAGCGGCAUAGCAAAUACAAAUACCGUUUGCAAUCUCUGAACCAGGCUGAAGAUGACGUUCUUGUUUUAUUUUCCUCCUGUAUUACACUUGCUACUUCCCUGUAAUAUAUACAACAUGGGCAGCUGAACUCCGUGCUCCCCCAGACUGUGAAGGCGGGACUGCUAUGAGAGAGCUCAAACUAUUCCGGGAUGGUGUUGGUCUGAUGACUCUACGUGUGAAUGAUGGGGGUAAGUAUGACCGUGAAGUAGCCCCUAUUUUACUGGCUCAUGAGAUGGGACAUAUGAUGGGAGCAGGCUACCCAUGAUGGAGAGAAAGGAGUGGCUGAAGAUUGCCGAGGAAAUUAUAUCAUGACACACACUGUUGAAAAGGGCCAUAAUAUAUGGAGUUAUUGCUCCAGGAAUCAGAUAGAUAAACAUUUGGCUAAACUGGAGAAGGACAGGCAUACCAAUGGAAAUUGUUUUUAUGUUUAAGCAUAGAGGGGCCCGGUCUAAAGAAGAUGCUAUUGGUUUUGAAAUUAUAAAAAUAAUUUUAUUAAAAAUUUAAGAGAAAUAUAUGGUGUGGUAACA
rnacentral:lncRNA from 1 species